UUCCUUAGCUUUAAAAAAAAUCUGACGUUUGAUUUUAAAGGAAAAAAAAAAAGUCUAAUUCAAUGUAUGUGCAUCUGUCAGCAUAGUGGAAUCUCAUCUUGUUUAGGGCCAAAGGAACACAAGUCAUGAGUUAGAUGACUUUGCAGUGGAAAAAUACAUCUCUUCUCUUUUGCUGCAACACAUUAAAAUACAAAAAGGGAGAACAGGAACAACCUAUAUAGACUGGGAGACUUGAAGAACAAUAUUAAGAGAGAGACAAGAUGAUAGCCAAGGAAUAAAGCCAUACAAAGAAAUGAAACUGGGCCCAGGAUGUGAAGUGUAACACCAGGACUCUGAACUUGCUUCUUUACAGGACAUUAAUGUCAAAUGCUGCACUACAAGUUUUUGUUCCCUCUGAGACUCUGAAGUCAGAGCUGGUUAAGUCAGUACUACCUGUCAUCUCUGCAAAAAUCUCUCCCGGAAAACUCUGCAUUCUGAAGCAAAGAUUGCUGGUUUUUAUAGUCUCCUCUUCUAGGCAUUCAAGGGUAGCUGAACAAACCUAUGUAUCUCCAGGAACUGUUGGCUUCUGACUGUUAACAACCUUCAGGAAGCCAUUACUGACAUCUCUGCUACAAAAGCUGUGCUGGCAGGGAAGGUCUUAGCUGUCAGCUUCUGCCAUUGUGCAUGAGAGGUAUUAUUUAAGCAACAGCAGAGUGUCAUUUCCCUGUGGCCUGAAGCUAUACUGAAGAAGGGGGACCCUAGCUGGCCUUGAGACACACUAGAAAGUCAUCUUCUGGUUCACAAUUAAUGGUAUGAAAAGGGUCACUUUUAGAGUGACGGUGGAGCAAGAGAAAACAGACUGAACUGAUUGUGGGAAAAGCCUUCAAACAACUGAAUCCCCAAAUUUGUAUGACUGGGAAUUGUAGGCGGGUUGAUGAAGCCCCAAAUGGCUGGGAAAGAAAUCCGUUCUUAAACAGAUGUUGACUUUGGCAUCACAACUUAUGCAUAAAAUGAAUCCUAUCUUUCUCCUUCAGUUUUGCUAGCAGUUACAGUCGCCAGCUGAGACACUAUGGGAAGAAAAGAUACUGUUGAGUUUUACUGUCUACUGUUGAAUUUUACUGUCUACAGAGCAAAUUCUAUAUGCACACAUAUAAAUUACUCUCAUUUCCUUGGGAAGAUGAAAUAUUUAGAGGUGUAAAAUAAAUGUGUAAAAGGUUUUAAUUUCGUAUGAGUUACAUCGUCAAUUAGCUGAAGCAGUGAAAAAGAAAACAGCUUUAUGAUUUCAGCACGUUACAUAAAACACUCAUUUGACAGGCUAAUGCAGAGCUGGUCUGAAAUAGACGACUUAGAGGCCUACUGAAGGAGAAAGUAAAGUUUUACAAGAUUUACACCUACCUAGACAAAUACAUUAUGGAGAUACUUUUAAAAUACCUUCUGUUUGAAGCCAUUCUGGCUUUAAUGGCUUCAGAGGUCUUACAGAAAAAGUUAGCUACCUACGAACAGCCAUC